rnacentral:rRNA from 1 species
AUGCAAGUCGGACGGGAUCCAUCGGAGAGCUUGCUCGAAGAUGGUGAGAGUGGCGCACGGGUGCGUAACGCGUGAGCAACCUACCUCUAUCAGGGGGAUAGCCUCUCGAAAGAGAGAUUAACACCGCAUAAUAUAUCUGACCGGCAUCGGUUAGUUAUUAAAUAUUUAUAGGAUAGAGAUGGGCUCGCGUGACAUUAGCUAGUUGGUAGGGUAACGGCUUACCAAGGCGACGAUGUCUAGGGGCUCUGAGAGGAGAAUCCCCCACACUGGUACUGAGACACGGACCAGACUCCUACGGGAGGCAGCAGUAAGGAAUAUUGGUCAAUGGGCGGAAGCCUGAACCAGCCAUGCCGCGUGCAGGAUGACUGCCCUAUGGGUUGUAAACUGCUUUUGUCCAGGAAUAAACCUUUAUACGUGUAUCUAGCUGAAUGUACUGGAAGAAUAAGGAUCGGCUAACUCCGUGCCAGCAGCCGCGGUAAUACGGAGGAUCCGAGCGUUAUCCGGAUUUAUUGGGUUUAAAGGGUGCGUAGGCGGCCUAUUAAGUCAGGGGUGAAAUACGGUGGCUCAACCAUCGCAGUGCCUUUGAUACUGAUGGGCUUGAAUCCAUUUGAAGUGGGCGGAAUAAGACAAGUAGCGGUGAAAUGCAUAGAUAUGUCUUAGAACUCCGAUUGCGAAGGCAGCUCACUAAGCUGGUAUUGACGCUGAUGCACGAAAGCGUGGGGAUCGAACAGGAUUAGAUACCCUGGUAGUCCACGCCCUAAACGAUGAUAACUCGAUGUUGGCGAUAGACAGCCAGCGUCCAAGCGAAAGCGUUAAGUUAUCCACCUGGGGAGUACGCCCGCAAGGGUGAAACUCAAAGGAAUUGACGGGGGCCCGCACAAGCGGAGGAGCAUGUGGUUUAAUUCGAUGAUACG